GCUGGCGUAGCUCAGCUGGUAGAGCAACUGAUUCGUAAUCAGUAGGUCGGGUGUUCGAUUCACCCCGCCAGCACCA
rnacentral:tRNA from 1 species